GUGGGGAAUAUUGGACAAUGGGCGAAAGCCUGAUCCAGCCAUGCCGCGUGUGUGAAGAAGGUCUUCGGAUUGUAAAGCACUUUAAGUUGGGAGGAAGGGCAGUAAGUUAAUACCUUGCUGUUUUGACGUUACCGACAGAAUAAGCACCGGCUAACUUCGUGCCAGCAGCCGCGGUAAUACGAAGGGUGCAAGCGUUAAUCGGAAUUACUGGGCGUAAAGCGCGAGUAGGUGGUUUUGUAAGUUGGAGGUGAAAUCCCCGGGCUCAACCUGGGAACUGCCUCCAAAACUGCAUGACUAGAGUACGGUAGAGGGUAGUGGAAUUUCCUGUGUAGCGGUGAAAUGCGUAGAUAUAGGAAGGAACACCAGUGGCGAAGGCGACUACCUGGACUGAUACUGACACUGAGGUGCGAAAGCGUGGGGAGCAAACAGGAUUAGAAACCCUUGUAGUCC
rnacentral:rRNA from 1 species